rnacentral:rRNA from 1 species
AUACGUAGGUGGCAAGCGUUAUCCGGAAUUAUUGGGCGUAAAGCGCGCGCAGGCGGUCCUCUAAGUCUGAUGUGAAAGCCCACGGCUCAACCGUGGAGGGUCAUUGGAAACUGGGGGACUUGAGUGCAGAAGAGGAGAGCGGAAUUCCACGUGUAGCGGUGAAAUGCGUAGAGAUGUGGAGGAACACCAGUGGCGAAGGCGGCUCUCUGGUCUGUAACUGACGCUGAGGCGCGAAAGCGUGGGGAGCGAACAGGAUUAGAUACCCUGGUAGUCCACGCCGUAAACGAUGAGUGCUAAGUGUUAGAGGGUUUCCGCCCUUUAGUGCUGAAGUCAACGCAUUAAGCACUCCGCCUGGGGAGUACGGUCGCAAGACUGAA